rnacentral:rRNA from 1 species
UACGGGGGGAGCAAGCGUUGUUCGGAAUUACUGGGCGUAAAGGGCGCGUAGGCGGCCUUCUAAGUCAGACGUGAAAUCCCUCGGCUCAACCGAGGAACUGCGUCUGAUACUGGAAGGCUUGAAUCCGGGAGAGGGAUGUGGAAUUCCAGGUGUAGCGGUGAAAUGACGUAGAUAUCUGGAGGAACACCGGUGGCGAAGGCGGCUUCCUGGACCGAUACUGACGCUGAGGCGCGAAAGCUAGGGGAGCAAACAGG